UCGGCAAUGGGCGAAAGCCUGACCGAGCGACGCCGCGUGUGGGAUGAAGGCCCUCGGGUUGUAAACCACUGUCAACGGGGAGGAAAUACAGAAGGGCUACCCCUUUUGUUUGACCUAUCUGUGGAGGAAGUACGGGCUAAGUUCGUGCCAGCAGCCGCGGUAAGACGAACCGUACAAACGUUAUUCGGAAUUACUGGGCUUAAAGGGUGCGUAGGCGGCGCGGACAGUUGGGUGUGAAAGCCCUCGGCUCAACCGAGGAAUUGCGCUCAAAACUACCGUGCUCGAGGGAGACAGAGGUAAGCGGGACUCAAGGUGGAGCGGUGAAAUGCGUUGAUAUCUUGAGGAACACCGGUGGCGAAGGCGGCUUACUGGGUCUUUUCUGACGCUGAGGCACGAAAGCCAAGGUAGCAAACGGGAUUAGAUACCCCGGUAGUCCUAGCCGUAAACACUGAACACUCGAGGAGGGGGGCUUCGGCCUUCUUCUUCUUAGCGAAAGCGUUAAGUGUUCCGCCUGGGGAGUAUGGUCGCAAGGCUGAAACUCAAAGGA
rnacentral:rRNA from 1 species